rnacentral:other from 1 species
GCAGCCCUGCUGUGCGCGUGAUGCCGCACCACGGUUUUGAGCCAACACUCUUAGAUGGGGUUCCUAUCUUCGUAAAGUAACGUGAUAGGCCUGAGCCAAGACGGAGCUUGUGAGGCGGAACCCAACCUGCGAAGGCAGGUUCAAAACUUCGCAGCACACGGCACAGUGGGGUAAAC